rnacentral:rRNA from 1 species
AGCGAACGCUGGCGGCAGGCCUAACACAUGCGAGUCGAACGGAUCCUUCGGGCUUAGUGGCGGAUGGGGGAGCAAAACGGGGGAACGUGCCUUUGGGUUCGGAACAACUCAGGGAAACUUGAGCUAAUACCGGAUGUGCCCUUCGGGGGAAAGAUUUGUCGCCAUUGGAGCGUCCUGCGUCUGAUUAGUUGGUUGGUGAGGUAACGGCUCUCCAAGGGGUGGAUCGGUAGCUGGGUAGAGAGGAUGAACAGCCACACUGGGACUAGGACACGGCCCAGACUCGUAGGGGAGGCAGGAGUGGGGGAUCUAGCGCAAUGGGCGGAAGGCAGACGCAGCCAGGCCGGGAGAAUGAUGAAGGUCUUGGGAACGUAAAAUUCUUUCAGCGGGGACGGUAAUGACGGUACCCGCAGAAGAAGCACCGGCUAACUUCGUG